rnacentral:rRNA from 1 species
AACGAACGCUGGCGGCAUGCCUAACACAUGCAAGUCGAACGAGAUCUUCGGGUCUAGUGGCGCACGGGUGCGUAACGCGUGGGAAUCUGCCCUUUGGUUCGGAAUAACAGUUGGAAACGACUGCUAAUACCGGAUGAUGACGAAAGUCCAAAGAUUUAUCGCCAGAGGAUGAGCCCGCGUAGGAUUAGCUAGUUGGUGUGGUAAAGGCGCACCAAGGCGACGAUCCUUAGCUGGUCUGAGAGGAUGAUCAGCCACACUGGGACUGAGACACGGCCCAGACUCCUAAGGGAGGCAGCAGUGGGGAAUAUUGGACAAUGGGCGAAAGCCUGAUCCAGCAAUGCCGCGUGAGUGAUGAAGGCCUUAGGGUUGUAAAGCUCUUUUACCCGGGAUGGUAAUGACAGUACCGGGAGAAUAAGCUCCGGCUAACUCCGUGCCAGCCGCCGCAGUAA